UUAGAGUUUGAUCCUGGCUCAGAUUGAACGCUGGCGGCAGGCUUAACACAUGCAAGUCGAGCGGUAACAGAGAGAAGCUUGCUUCUUUGCUGACGAGCGGCGGACGGGUGAGUAAUACAUAAGAAUCUGCCAAGCAGUGGGGGAUAACGUCCGGAAACGGGCGCUAAUACCGCAUACGUCCCACGGGGGAAAGCAGGGGCUCUUCGGACCUUGCGCUGCUUGAUGAGCUUAUGUCGGAUUAGCUAGUUGGUGGGGUAAUGGCCUGCCAAGGCGACGAUCCGUAGCUGGUCUGAGAGGAUGAUCAGCCACACUGGGACUGAGACACGGCCCAGACUCCUACGGGAGGCAGCAGUGGGGAAUAUUGGACAAUGGGGGGAACCCUGAUCCAGCCAUGCCGCGUGUGUGAAGAAGGCCUUCGGGUUGUAAAGCACUUUCAUUAGGGAGGAAGGUUGUUUGGUUAAUACCCAAGCAAAUUGACGUUACCUAAAGAAGAAGGACCGGCUAACUCCGUGCCAGCAGCCGCGGUAAUACGGAGGGUCCAAGCGUUAAUCGGAAUUACUGGGCGUAAAGCGCGCGUAGGCGGUUGCUUAAGUGGGAUGUGAAAUACCUGGGCUUAACCUGGGAAUUGCGUUCCAAACUGGGCAGCUAGAGUACAGUAGAGGGUGGCGGAAUUUCCAGUGUAGCGGUGAAAUGCGUAGAGAUUGGAAGGAACAUCAGUGGCGAAGGCGACCACCUGGACUGAUACUGACGCUGAAGGGCGAAAGCGUGGGGAGCAACCGGAUUAAAUACCUUGGGAGUCCACGCCGUAAACGAUGUCUACUAGUUGUUGGGGAAUCUUGUAUUCCUAAUAACGUAGUUAGCGCCGAAUAAUAAACCGCCUGGGGAGUACGGCCCCAGGGUAAAACUCCAAGAAUUUGACGGGGGCCCCACAAGCGG
rnacentral:rRNA from 1 species